GGGAAGGCUCAGGCAGCCGCUUUACGGCAUUUAGCUGUGAAGAGGAAAGUCCGGACACUUAAGGGCAAUGCGCCGCGUGAAAGCGCGGGUACCCUGCUGUAAAGGCAGGGUAACGGAGCAGUAUCACAGAAAAUAAACUACCUUUUGGGUUUACCCAAACGGAAAAGGUGAAAAGGCGGUGUAAGAGACCACCCCGGAAUGCAGUAAUGUAUGCCGAGGAUAAACCCCGCAGGAGUGCAAGGCCGCGUAUAGUAUCAUUUUCAGGCUGCCCGCCUGAGACUGCUUAACAGCAGCGUGAUACAGGGUAGGCUGCAUAAGAUAAAUGGCUGCAGGUUUAAUUACCAACAGAAUCCGGCUUAUGAGCUUUCCUUUUU
rnacentral:RNase_P_RNA from 2 species